GGGUGCUGCUAUUCUGGCCGGCAAAGAGAGGGGGUAGGGUCGCCGCCACCGGAGUGGGUGGUGGUCGCCGGUUGGGGGAGGGGUGUUGGCACACAACAAGAAUCCGUCGUUUUAGCGUCUGUAUUUAGCGUCCGACGAUACAAGCGGACGGUAAAUUUAAAAUUAGCGUCCGAUUUAAGACAGAUGCAAAUUAACGUCCGCUUUCUGAGAUUUAGCGUCCGUUCUUUUAGACUGACGCUAAUUAGCGUCCGUGUAAUUAAAAUACCGUCCGUCAUACGGACGCUAAAUAAGAGGUAUAAAAAAAAAAAACUCCGGUCAACCAAACUAUCAACCCUAAGUUUCUAACCCACGCCUCUCUCUUCCUCACUCUCAAGUCUCAUCUCACGUUUCUCUCUCUUCUUCACUCUCAUCUCACAUUUUGGUGCUCUCUCUUUCUUGUAGAUCUCACGAAAUCAGUGUGUAAUUAUGCGAAGGGUAGAUGGGUUGUAGAUAACAGACGACCAUUGUAUUCUGGCUCAAAAUGCAAGCACUGGCUAUCAGAGAUGUGGGCUUAUAGAUGGCAACCACCAAUUUGUGAUAUGCCAGACUUUGAAAGAUCUUCAUUUUUGAAAAGUUCAAAAUGAUGAUCAUGAAAACUGGAGGAAUUUGCUUAUUUCGAGUGAAGACCAUAGAGAAUGAUGAUUUCGUUUCCUUGAGCUGGUUCGUGAUGGAUGCAUUGGCUAAGGCCAAGAUACUUAUAGAUGCUAUUUAUAAUGAUGGGUGGUGGGUGGGCUGCAUUUCUAAAGUCCUUGGUGACUCAAAAUAUUUAGUUUUGUUCCAGAUUUUUGUUGUGGAGUUUAAAUUAGUGUACAUGUAAUUAUAUGAGAUUUGUAUUAGAUUUUGUUCUAAGUAUACUAGAAUUUAGUUCUCGAAUUAUUUUUUCACUUGUAUCUACAUUUAUUAUCAAUAAUAAUUGAAUUUAUUAA